rnacentral:lncRNA from 1 species
AAAGGGGAGAGGCUGCCCCCAAGGGAAGGAGCCGGGCGAGGGGCAGGGGCAGGGGCAGGGGCAGGGGCGAGGGGAAGGGGCAGGGGCGAGGGAAGGGGCAGGGGCGAGGGAAGGGGCGGAGCGAGUACCGCUCCAGGAAGAGGAGCCAUACUAUGGCAACCCUGACAGGUUUGUGAGCCGCUCCUGGUCCCCUGCUGCUCCGUGAGAAAUCAAACUUCUGGCAAUGACGAAGCAUGAAGCCAGCAUCUUAGGGAGAGGUAGUGACAUAAUUACACGGCCAGUUCUUGGAGAUACUAGGAAGCCAAGAGUUUCCUCCAAGAAUGGAGAUUCCUUGGAAGUGAGGUUCACCUUGAGUCAAGAAAGACGAAUCACACGUGGUCAAAGGCCAUUGCCCAGGGUCUCAAGAGUAGCCAGAAAGAAGAGCUGGGGCCGAAGGGAUUGUGGGUGUCCUCCCUCCCACCUGAAAAGCUACUGCUGCCUGCUGACCCUCUCAAGAGGAGACCUCUCUGGGAUCCAGCACCUAAAACAGAUAAACCUGGGAGGAUGCUUCUCUCCUCUGUGUCACACGUGUCCUGGAGAAAACUUGUGUAUCUAAAUGACCAAAGAAAACUGUGAGAAAAAGUGCAAAAUCUGUGCCAGGCCAUUCAGUGUCUGGCUGGGGCUCUGUGGUGCACAUGCAUUCCAAGAAGACUGGAGAGUGCCAAGCCUGUGGGAAAUGUCCCUCAGACCUGCCUCUGCCUGGAAUAUGACUGCCCAUCCAGGUUCAUGAUGCAGAACUGUCUUUAAAAGGCGACUGCGGAUAUAGAGAGAGGGAUUUCUAACCCUGAUAGAACACGACCAGCUGUUGCACUGGGGAAAGCUGCAUCCACCCGUGACAUGCUGCUCAUACUGGCCCGGAACACACUCUACUACCUAAGGAAUAAGCCCCACAUUUGCUCUUUGUGGGUGAAAGGAGAGGGUGAGAGAGGAGAGGAGUGUCCGCACAGACAUGAGAAGCCUGCAGAUCCAGAUGACCCCCUUGUUGAUCAGAAUAUGAAAGAUUGAUUUGUGAAAACAAUGACCCUGUAGCAGAUAAGCUUCGAGAGCAGGCUUCAACCACACGUCAUAUGGACCCACUGGCGAGGAGGUCUGCCCUCACUCUGUGUUGGUGGUCUGGGGGAUACCAUUACUGAGACAGAUUUAAGAAAUAGUCUACCUGUUGGUGAGAUCUGGACGGUCACUGUUGUGCAGUGACAACAGUGUGCUCUCAUCAGCUUUCCACAGGGCAGGCUGUGGAAAUGGCCACUGAGAAGUCCUUUUGUAAAUUCAUUGUCCAUGACUGCAGACUUACCAUCAAAUGGAAGAAGAUUCCAAGCUCUCAAAAGGAAAAAGAGAAGGAUGGAACCGCAGACUCUGGGAUCCUGCCAGAGCCUAUUUCAGUGCUGCCAGGUGCUCCUCCUCCCCCUGCAGCUCUGGUCCCCACCUUGGAGCCUCCUUCCAAGGAGUGAGAUUACCUUUCUGACUUUUUCUGGCCACAGACAACUUUUCUGACUUUUUCUAUCCUUGGCACCUGCUGAGGAGAGGAGACCCACGGACCUGGGCUCCUGGGCCCAUUC